AGAGAGCUCUCUGACCCGGACACCCGCCGCGACCCGAGAAAGAAACCCAACCGGAGGAACGACGUCCGGCCACCCCACGACGGCGCACAGCCACCAUUCCCUUCGUCUUUGCGUCGCCUGCGUCCCUGUGUCCUCGGAUCUUACAUGCAACGAUCGUGAACGGAGAAUCAACGACGAGAAGCAGCGCCUGUUCCGGCGAGUUUCUGCAAUUCCCGGCGACUCCGGCCACCGUCUGAGCUGCUUGUGACGCCGGCAGUUUUCCGGCUCUUCUCGUCUUCGUUUUGGCUCGGUUGCAUCUGUAGACGAAGGCAGACCUUGUUUAGGAAUUGAGGUGCAAGAAUUGCUGGUUGGGGUGGCCAUCAGAUCGAAUCCCAUCACCGGUCGAGUGUCGAAGGUAUGCUGGACGGAGUUGAUCAACUCGGCGUCGACUAGGCUAACUCCCACAACUAUGUUCUUCGUCAUCUAGGUUUCAUCUGCAGAUUCUACCACAGAAGCCACCAGGGCAAGAAGAAAAGCCAGAGAGCAAGUACAAGAAAAGAAAAGCUCAAAGGCUACACAAAAGAUGGGCGGCAAAAGCCUUAGGACAAAUUACAGGGGGGCCUGGGAGGCCAUCACUUCACAGAAUAGAGAUCAGGGAGGUUGGAGGUGUUACGUCCCGAACCCAAAUUCACCCGUUUACUGGUCAUUUGGACGGUAAACGACAACUAUUUUCACUUUGACUGUCGUUUCAGCACUUUUAGUGGCCCUAAAAGUUGACUUUUUGUUCGGGUCAGAAUUUGAGAAAAUUUUCUUCACGAAAGUUGUAGAGGAUGUUAAACCGAGCGCGUGCAUAUGUGGUUCGUAAAAAUCGGAGCUCGUAUGCGAAAGUUAUAGGCGAAAAAGGAAAAGUUACUGUUCAAGGUAAGUUUCUAUAUAAAGGGAAAAUCACUGUGGUAAGUUUCCAAUUGGAAACUUACCGGGCUCCCUCUCUCUCCUCUCCCCCGAUCUCUCCUCCUCCGGUUCGGGGGAUUUUUGAAUUUCCGGCCUAAUUUCCGAUUCCGGCCACCUGAC